UGAAGAUGAAUCCCCUGGUGUCUGUUCUGCACCUCUAUGAUGUUGUCAAUUCACCUGGUGUUACAGCUGAUGUUAGUCACAUGGAUACUGGUGCUGUGGUAAACUUCUCCUCCUCUUCCUUUGCAAUUAUCUCUCGGUACAUGAUGAUAUAGCAUGAGAAGGUCUUGGAUUUCUUUUUUUUAUUGAGAUAGGAUUCUCAUUGGAAAACUAUAAUAACUAUCCCGAUUUCUAGUUAAUGUUCAACUACAUUAAUCGCUUUAGGCUCGCAUGAUAGCACGAGAAGGUCUUGGAGAUUUUUGUUUAUCGAGCCGAAUUCUCACUGGAAAACAAUCUCAAUUUCUAGUUAAUGUUCAACUACAUUAAUCUUUUUACCUUUCAUGAUAGCAUGAGAAGGUCUUGGAGAUUUUUGUUUAUCGAGCCGAAUUCCCUUCCCUCCGGAAAACUAUCUCAAUUUAUUUCUAGUUAAUGUUCAACUACAUUAAUCUUUUUUGCCUCAUCUCUUACAGAAACUCUGUUUCUAGGAGAAUUACGGUUAACGAUUUUAAUGCCAAAGGAAGCAAAUAAUUUCUAUAUUUUAUGAUUGCUCUAUUUACUGGAAAACGAAAUAUUCCAAAAUUUUGUGGCUUAAUAUCUCACUUGGACAGAUUGAUAUCCUCGUAAGAGCAGUUAUAAUUCUUGAGCCCCGAGUGUGCUUAUGCAGGUUCGCGGCUUUUUGGGUGCAC
rnacentral:lncRNA from 1 species